rnacentral:misc_RNA from 1 species
UUUCCUUACGGAACGGAAGAUCGAGUUACUGCGGAAUCCGCACGUGAAGGCCGACGUUUAUUUUCCAGCGGUUCCCUUACGGAAUUCAGGUGGCCUCUCGGGGGGAAUUCCUUCCGGGAUUUGCAAACCUCCUUCCCAUUAACGUAUGGGGCCGGAGGAACGGAGGACCAAGGGACCUUGAGGCUAUUUCCUGGACGAUUUACAAACUCGACGGACCUCCACAAAAAGGACUAGAUCGUCGAAAGCAACAGUGCCAUUUCCGAAAGUACAGCGAGAUCGAUUCCCAGGAAUUCCCUUUACGAAUACCGCCUGCAUCGACCUAUCGUCGAACUUUAUGAAAUUAUUGAAGGAACCUAUCAACCUACACUGGCAGAGAAAAGGAAAAAAAUACAUUGAACAGCAGCAAAGAAAUCUAAUUCCAGUUCUGAGAACAAUUACUUGGCCAAAGAGACAUCGCACUGAGUUCCCUCGAUUUUAUUUAAGCUCAGCCGUUUCCACGACGAUAUCAAGGUGCAGGGUCGCUUAUCAUCGAGAGGACGACGUGGGUCGUCUUCCCCGAAAUCUCCGCGUCAUCCGGCCGGUCCUUCGUGACCUAGGAGGUGGCGAGACUCGCGGUGAAAGUUCUUCCCCAGGGUCCCUCGAAUUGCGAUUUCACCUCCAUUUGGGAGCACGUGAACGGGAUCGGAGAAAUAUCCGGGUUAUGUGCGGCCUCGAGUCGGCCAUCUCGAGAUCGCAAUCGAGUGGAACGUCCGCCGCGUCGCUCUCGGAAGGGCCGAGUUCCUCGACCUCCACCACAUCUCUUUCUCCAAUCCUUCUAACAAAGGGUGUAUACGCCCUUUCCAAGGAUCGAAAACCCCGCAAAAGCCCCAUUGUUACCCCAGAAAGAAGAAGAUCCCGCCCUAGAGGCUGCCCGUUUAUUAUUAAUACCUAAACGCGAGCUCGUAUUUGUACACACGAAGAUUCCAAUAUGGCGGCGUGCCGUUCCAGUGACCGUUCUCUUUUCUGUUGCAGGGAGCACGGCGAGGAAGAAGAAAUAUAAUAAACGGGGACAAAUCACCCAUUUGGAGCAUCCAUCCCCGAAGAUGUUUUUUUCUUUCUGCAUUUCAAGAAGACAACCUUCCCAUAAAGUUAACAUGUUCUCCAGAUACUCGGGAUCCCGAUUCAGCGCCGAUGAUGGGCGGUAAAGCGUGGGAAAAAAGCCAGUUCUCCUAAAGGUUCCGCGUUGGUGGCGUCAUCGGGAGCCUUAACCUCUCUCGCGCAUGCGGGAAUUCCUAGCUCGCGAAGAAGAGAAUCUCCUGGCGAGAUAUGUACGCCGGUUGCGGGGUUCAAUCUCCUCUGUACAGCGUAUACAUGUAACCGUUCGGUUACGCGCACUUAAGUCAAAUCAGCGCUCGUUCCGAAGCAAGGCCGGUGUGCGUAUCCGUAACAACUCGGGAGAUUCGCCGGUUAACGAUACCUGACUUCGGGCCAGCUCAACGCUUCACCGUGCACGCUGCAAGUCGUACACUGGGAGACAUCAAUGCCCUCCCAUCCUGCACAGGCAAUGCCGCAUCUGCAGGGGAGGCAUUCAUAUCCGCCACUGUACUUGAGAUUCAAAUGGCAGACUUCGCUAAGGGUGCACCAACGAACGAGCCUUACAAUAAUUUGAAAUUAUUCUCUUUCUUCAAGAAUUUGAAAUAACGAUAACGAUAACUGCGCUGGUAAAGGAAGCAAUUUAAAUCCCGACUCGGGUGAAAUCGACUGAAUCUAACGCGACGUUUCUUCAUUGGAAUUCAUCCAUGGAUUCAGAAUAUAUUUCCGUGGGACCAUUCAAAGAGAUAAUUGCUUCGAUUAAUCCUUUCUUUUGCCAGGGUGUAGAUCGAAUUUCAAUCUAGUCGCCGUUAAAACUGUGAAUUAUCACUUAAGGUCGCAGAUUUGUAUUCCAAAACGACGAGCUGGAUAAGCGCGUCGCCAUUUUGUUACGAUAAUAGCCAAUAAUUUAAUUCUCUAAGGGGACCGCGAAGACACUUUUUACGUGGCUCGCUCCGAGGCAUUAUGCCGAUUAGUUAUCGAAUUUAUAUUUAAGACCGUUACAUCGGUAAUUCGACCUCCUUGAUGAGUUGUACUUCGGUGUAGAUACUCCUCAGGGUGGUGUUAAAAACGGCGAGAAAGGAAAAAAAAAGGAAGUUUCUUUCUAAUACACAUCACGCGUUUCUAUCUACGCGUUACAAAGGCAUGGACGUAUGAUAGCGUAGGAAACGAAAUCGGAAACUCUACCUAAUAUCUACCCUUUAAUCCGAAACGCGUCUCAGGGUGGAGAAUACAUGCCGGAUUUAAUUAUACAAGUCCUGCAGCGUACACAUUGUACAUAAAGGAUAUUUCUCUCGCGGGGAUUUUCGAAAAUGGCGCCGCGGAGGCGCGACGUUACCUCCUAGGUCGGCAAUAAAACUGGCGAGAAAUGGUAUUCCCGAUCGGUGGACCUCGUUCUCUCGUAGAGAUCCGCGUAACUUCGCUCGCUCGGCAGGAUGUAGGUAGGCCCGUUUCUUUUCCAAGUAUGUACGCCGAAGGACGGACAGGGGGUAACCCGGUUUCGUUUCAUCGGUAAUUCCCGAUUGCACCACCGCCUAGCGGCGACGGCGACUACUACCGGUGAGAGUUAUAAUAUAAGGAUUCGAUAAGGAUCCGAAAAAGCCCGAUGACAAUGACGAUAUGUCACCUCGUUGGUAUAAUAUACGAAGCAACAUCCGAAUAGCAAGAAAAGGGUGAAAGGGGUGAAGGAAAGAUUAUCUUAUAUCAAUUUGGGAUUUUAUCUCCAUAUCGAUCCCACCCCGAGUUCUACUCUCGUAAUCAUCCCUAUCUUUACGUACGACAAGGCGGAAAUUCCUACUUAUCUUUUGCAAACCUCCCCAGAGUUUAUACCACUUUCCGAUCAAUAAUGGGAGAUCAUUUAUUAUAUUUAGUUAACCCUUUGCGCAUGGGCUGUGGUAUAUUGUAAGUAGACUCUUUAUAGGAGCUUUACACGGUACCGAUGCUAGAAUAAGAACUGCUUUGGUAAUUGUUGCUGGAGGGAGAGAGUCGCGAUGCUGCAAGACGAGGCGAGGCGAACGCUCUCGCCUUGCUGAUGUUAAUGAGGUAACUUCUCUCGAUGGAGUCAAAUUACGAGGGAAAUGGCCAACGAAUGUGCAACGAAUUUAAUAGGAAUAC